UACGUAGGGGGCAAGCGUUAUCCGGAAUUACUGGGUGUAAAGGGUGAGUAGGCGGCACGGCAAGUAAGAUGUGAAAGCCCACAGCUUAACUGUGGGAUUGCAUUUUAAACUGUUGAGCUAGAGUACAGGAGAGGAAAGCGGAAUUCCUAGUGUAGCGGUGAAAUGCGUAGAUAUUAGGAAGAACACCAGUGGCGAAGGCGACUUGCUGGGCCAUCACUGACGCUGAGGCACGAAAGCGUGGGGAGCAAAUAGG
rnacentral:rRNA from 1 species